rnacentral:snRNA from 1 species
AGCUUUGCGCAGUGGCAGUAUAGUAGCCAAUGAGGCUUAUCCAAGGCGCGUUUAUUGCUAAUUGAAAACUUAAAAUAUGGAGAGAACCUCUGGGUAUUUACUAUAUAGUUAGAUUAAC